UGGGUUGUGGGUGAGUAAAUAGAACUCCCGAAGGAGUUCUCUUUCGACCAAGAGUCCUAAAUUCACUCAAAAAUUCCAUUAAAAAUAAUAUAUAAAUCCUUUUCAUAGAGGUCUAUUUAAAGGCCUCAAUCCCCUUGAUUUUUCUAAUCGAAGAAUUGCUCUAGUUGCUAUCCUUUUUCCCUCUCUUUUCUUCUUGGUUACCAGC
rnacentral:lncRNA from 1 species